CCCAGCUUGUCAUGUUAGAGCACUUUUUCAACGGGUUCCCCAAUGACAAGGUGAUGACGCAUUCGUAUGUCAUCCAUAUGAACUUUCGAUGCCAUUUACUGCGCCUACCAUGGUGACCACGGUAACAGGGAAUCAGGGUUCGAUUCCGGAGAGGGAGCCUGAGAAACAGCUACCACAUCCAAGGAAGGCAGCAGACGCGCAAAUUACCCACUCCUGACGCGGGGAGGUAGUGACG